UGUGUACUAGAAAACAGGUGGUAAAGAUAGAAAAUAUUGUAGGGUUGUCUUCCAUUGAUUGUGAGGAUGAGACUUUUUCUUAUCUAUUCAACAAACUUAGAUUGUGUGCUAGUUUCUGUGAGUAAACUGUGAUCACGGUAUCAGCGACCUCUGUACUCAGGAACUUGCAUAUCAGUAGUAGUGACAGGUAGUUACUAAAAAUGUAAUUUGAGGGAAGUAACAAGUCACAAAACUAAUACAGGUAAGACAGAGAAUGAGGGUGGAUCCUCUUGAGUAGUAACAUCAGGAGAGACGUUGCCGAGUAAAUAGGCCUCAGAGAACCAGGUGAGCCAACCUUGAAGAGACACACAAAACAAAAGGGACAAUCACAAGAUCUUAAAGCAGGAACAAGAACUCUGACUGCAGUCCAGCACCUCAGUCACCACUACACCUGCCAAAGAAUGAAAAUCCAGGGUGUCCAGUACCAUGAAAGUAAGACAAGAAAAGAUGGUAAAAGUCAUCUUGAACCCUCUUUCCUUUGACCCUGAACCGUGUGUCAGUCACAUUCCACACCAGCACUAGUCUCACACCGCCCUGCCGCUCACCUGGUGUUGGCACAGACUAGCAGGAGAGCCCCUUCAUCACAUUACACCCUGCUCAAGAAAUGACAGUGACAAGCAAGUGUCCCCCUGUGAGUGAUGAGUCUUACCAGACCAACAGAAGGACCUCCACCUGCCCGCCUUCCUCUUCUCUGUUAUUGUUAAGGGGAGCCCUUUCUCUAGCAUCUACUUAGCAUUAUUGUUAAGGGAAGCCCUUUCUCUAGCAUCUACUUAGGCACUCAUGGUUUAUUCCCUUCUCCCUAGCAGCAAUCUUAUUCAUCAUGGUGAAUCUUCUUCCUAUCAUGGUGUUUUCAUUUCUUCUUAAGUUUUAUUUUUUGUUCUGUUUUGUUGUUGUUUUUUCUUUUCUAGUUUCUCCUGACUUAUUCCCUCUUACCUUGCUCUUUGAGUGCCUGAGCCUACAUGGUCUGUGUGAUUUUAUUUUUGCCUUUUUCUUGGAGUCGCUUAAAGAGGCACAGCCUUUAAAGUGCCACCAUUGUUUCAAGUUCAAAUAUUUAUGGGUAUUUUUAUUGUUUUGUAGGAAAGCUUUGACAUUAAAACUUGCUUUCCCACAUAUUUAUGGAGGGAAUACUCCUGCCCUCUGAAACUUGCUGGAAUAACUUGCUGGAUCUGAAGAAGAUAAAAUAGGAGGAAAGAGUUUUAAAAUCCUGCAAAAUGAGUUUGAAGUAGAUACAAAUAAUGCAUACGAUUGACAAAAGAAAAGUAAUCCAACUCUUACGAAAGACACUUGAAGGGGAAUGAAGGCGCCCUGUGGUUGUUGAGAGGUGAGAUGGUGCACCCCUAACACAGCUUCCUGGAUAUGACGUUAAGCAGAAAAUAGCGUCCCGGGCAGGUGUAUUUCUAAAGUCAACAUCAGGUUCUUGAGUUGCAGGAAUGGAGAGCCAGACUAAAGGCGUAUCUUCUAAGACUUUCUGCCCUGCCAGCCUCAUCACUUUCAUUGCUGGUGAAAUUAGUAUGGGAAUCACAAUGGCUUAUUUUUCUUCUUUUUAGGGUUUUUUUCUAAGGUUCUCUUCUACUAUGUGUUAUUGAUGGCAUUGGAGACACCAAUGAACCCUUUGUUUCUGCUAUUUGUUUUUUUAGUUGGCAAUACAACUUUUACCUUCUCCAAGUUGGAAACCUGUCUGGAAAGUCAUAUGCCAAGCCUAGUCUCUGUGCCAGAGGGUGCAAAUGUG
ensembl:lncRNA